rnacentral:lncRNA from 1 species
AUGGAUCAGCUUCUCUGGAGGAAGGGUACUAACAGCAAAGGAAAUGGUUGGAACUUGAAAAGCACUGGCAGAGACAACCAACUUAAGAAGACAAUGCUGAGAUUGGAAAUAGCUGUAAGCUAUUACCGUGGAAAAGUACCUGGCAUAUGGCAGUUAUUUGGCAAAUGUUUAUUAAAAACGAAGAAAAAGAAACUGAGUGUGAGAGAGGCUAUGGCCCGUUGGUACUCUCCACCACAUCUACAGUUAUUCAGGAACAAAGAAUAUUUGUUUCACAAUCGGUGGUGCAGAUUGGGAUCUGUGAAGUGGAAAAUAGACCAGCAAGCUAGCUCAACCAUGUUCCUCUCUCAUGGUGCCAGUGGAAGGAAAUAA